ensembl:snRNA U6 U6 spliceosomal RNA
GUGCUAAAUUAGGCAGCACAUAUACUAAAAUUAGAAUGAUACAGAGAAGAUUAGCAUUGCCCCUGGGCAAGGAUGACAGGCAAAUCCACGGUGUUCCAUGUUUUU